AGGAAAACAUCCAAUCUUUUUUGAAGUGUUUGCCCUGAAACUAAUUGUUCCAUCAUUUUAUAGUUUUUCAGCCACCUGAUGAAAAAUUGGAACAGUCAAGAGAGGUCAAAUGUGUUGUCAUGAUCCCAGAGACCAGCAGUGGACAUGAGAGUCAGAAGCUGCAGACUUCCCAGCCAAGGAACUGCUAGACUAGGUGCAGGGCUCUGAGCCUGAUGCUGAGAGAUCAGGAAAUAAAUGUGGUUGAGGAAUAUGAGCUCCUAGAAGAACCUCCUGUAUCCAUAUGGCCAGAAGUUGGACCCUCACAGGUUCUGCAAUCUAAACUUGGCAGAGGUCAGAUAUCUCCACAAUCGCUGCUUGUUUCCUUCUUUAUUGCUGAUUUCUUGUAAUGGUGCCCGCUUGGAUUUUUUUUUUUUAUAUGGCUAUACGUUGCUUUGAGUAUUUUUAAAUAGGGAGGCAAUUAAUACGUUUUAAAAUGACAAAAGAUCAGCAUUUUAUUUAUACAAUGUCUCUCUUGUCAG